rnacentral:misc_RNA from 1 species
GGGGGAGAAAGGGGAGGGGGGAGGGGGAGAUAGAACCAACAUAAUAUUCUCUCUCUUCACAAAUGUGUCACCACCCCCUUUUUUUUCCUCCUGCUUUUCCCUUUUAAGGUUUAAAAUGUAGGGAAAAAAAAAAAUCCAGAAAUCCAGAUUGUAUUGCCUUUCCUUAUCGAGCUAGGGACACCAGUCCACCCUCCGCCCCUCUCUUCUCUCUCUCUCUCUCU